AUUGAACGCUGGCGGAAUGCUUUACACGUGCAAGUCGAACGGCAGCACGGGUGCUUGCACCUGGUGGCGAGUGGCGAACGGGUGAGUAAUAUAUCGGAACGUACCCAUUAAUGGGGGAUAACAUAUCGAAAGAUGUGCUAAUACCGCAUACGCCCUGAGGGGGAAAGCGGGGGAUCUUAGGACCUCGCGUUAUUGGAGCGGCCGAUAUCGGAUUAGCUAGUUGGUGGGGUAAAGGCCCACCAAGGCGACGAUCCGUAGCUGGUCUGAGAGGACGACCAGCCACACUGGAACUGAGACACGGUCCAGACUCCUACGGGAGGCAGCAGUGGGGAAUUUUGGACAAUGGGGGAAACCCUGAUCCAGCCAUUCCGCGUGAGUGAAGAAGGCCUUCGGGUUGUAAAGCUCUUUCGCAAGGGAAGAAAACUUACAUUCUAAUAAAGUGUGAGGCUGACGGUACCUUGAUAAGAAGCACCGGCUAACUACGUGCCAGCCGCCGCGGUAA
rnacentral:rRNA from 1 species